GGGUGCGAGGCGUUAAUCGGAAUUACUGGGCGUAAAGCGUGCGCAGGCGGUUCGACAAGUCCGAUGUGAAAGCCCCGGGCUCAACCUCGGGAAUGGCAUUGGAAACUGGCGAGCUUGAGUGUGGCAGAGGGGGGUGGAAGUUCCGCGUGUAGCAGUGAAAUGCGUAGAGAUGCGGAGGAACACCGAUGGCGAAGGCAGCACUCUGGGACGUGACUGACGCUGAGACGCGAAAGCGUGGGGAGCAAACAGG
rnacentral:rRNA from 1 species